GUUCAGCUGAAAUGCACAGAUAUGGUCUAACGUUUUGUGGACACUCUCCUUAACAGAGCAUAAGCUCUAAGAGGAAAGAUGGACUGUUGAGAGAAUGAUCGUGCAAGGAUAUAGAUUUAUAGCUGCUAUUGCCCAGCUGUUAGCUGGUCAGUGUUAAAAUGUGUCUAUGAUGGAGAUGUAAACUGAACCUGAUUCAUGCGGUAGUAGAUUGUCUAUCCCUUUCUGAGCAUACUUGAUUGCUGUUGUUACUAUGGAGAUUCAGCAGAGUUUAGCUUUCCUUAAGCAAACAGGAGAAUCUGCCAGUUCUUCAGCAAAGGCCUGAUAAGAAUGAUGAAUGCUGGGGAGAUGACAUUAUAUACAAGAGAAAAGGUUAUGCAGAUUACUGUGAAGAUCACCAAAUUGGUCACUGGCAGCAUGAGUGUGAUUGUAAAAUCAAGAAUGGGACAACUAGCCCUAAGUGGAAUGGGAGCAGUUCUGGAUGAUAUGAAAAGCUGGUGGACUGCUGUCUUCCAGUGUGCCCUGCCCACAGGGCAARAGGGAGCACUAGUUAUGCAGCAGAGAUGCCCUGA
rnacentral:lncRNA from 1 species